GUAUUUUGACUGUGCAAAGGUAGCAUAAUUAUUAGUUUUUUAAUUGAAAGCUUGUAUGAAGGGUUGGACGAGAUAAAAUCUGUCUUUAUUUAAAUUAAAGUAUAAUUUAACUUUUAAGUCAAAAGGCUUAAAUGUUUAUAAAAGACGAGAAGACCCUAUAGAUCUUUAUUUAGUUAAGAUUUUAAUAAUUUAGGAUUAUUUUAAUUUGGAGUCUUAAUUGAAUUUUAUUGGGGUAAUAUAAAGAUUAAAUGAAUUCUUUUUAUUUAUGACAUUAAUUUAUGAAUAUAUGAUCCAUUAAUAUUGAUUAUAAGAUUAAGUUACCUUAGGGAUAACAGCGUAAUUUUUUUGGAGAGCUCAUAUCGAUAAGAAAGUUUGCGACCUCGAUGUUGGAUUAAAAAUUAGCUUGGGUGCAGAAGCUCAAGAUUUUGGUCUGUUCGACCAUUAAAUUUUUACAUGAUCUGAGUUCAGACCGGCGUAAGCCAGGUCGGUUUCUAUCUUUAUUUAGAUAAAAUAUUUUAGUACGAAAGGACCAAGUAUUUAAUAUAAUUAUAUUUAUUUUUUGAAGAAUAUU
rnacentral:rRNA from 1 species